rnacentral:tRNA from 1 species
AGUUCAGUUUGGUUAGAAUGCCUGCCUGUCACGCAGGAGGUCGCGGGUUCAAGUCCCGUCCGGA